rnacentral:rRNA from 1 species
GAUGAACGCUGGCGGCGUGCCUAAUACAUGCAAGUCGAGCGAUGAAGCCGGAGCUUGCUCUGGUGAAUUAGUGGCGAACGGGUGAGUAACACGUGAGUAACCUGCCCUUGACUCUGGGAUAACUGCUAGAAAUGGUAGCUAAUACCGGAUACGACCCUCGGAGGCAUCUCCAGGGGGUGGAAAGAAUUUCGGUCAAGGAUGGACUCGCGGCCUAUCAGCUAGUUGGUGAGGUAAUGGCUCACCAAGGCGACGACGGGUAGCCGGCCUGAGAGGGUGACCGGCCACACUGGGACUGAGACACGGCCCAGACUCCUACGGGAGGCAGCAGUGGGGAAUAUUGCACAAUGGGCGCAAGCCUGAUGCAGCAACGCCGCGUGAGGGAUGACGGCCUUCGGGUUGUAAACCUCUUUUAGUAGGGAAGAAGCGAAAGUGACGGUACCUGCAGAAAAAGCACCGGCUAACUACGUGCCAGCAGCCGCAGUAA